rnacentral:rRNA from 1 species
UACGUAGGGUCCGAGCGUUGUCCGGAAUUAUUGGGCGUAAAGGGCCCGUAGGCGGUUCGUCACGUCGGGAGUGAAAACUCGGGGCUUAACCCCGAGCCUGCUUCCGAUACGGGCAGACUAGAGGUAGGCAGGGGAGAGCGGAACUCCUGGUGUAGCGGUGGAAUGCGCAGAUAUCAGGAAGAACACCGGUGGCGAAGGCGGCUCGUCUGGGCCUUACCUGACGCUGAGGAGCGAAAGCGUGGGUAGCGAACAGG